CGGGUAACUUUACAGGAACUUUUUCCCACAGACAAAAACCUCGUUUCCUUCCCAUGGUUUCCAUCUUGAAUUCUUAGACCCUGAUAAAUUUCUGGUUCGCUCUGUACCCGCAAAAGGUUUUCAUGGAGUAUUUCAACAGUAUCCCCUUGGAGAUUGCAGUGAACAUUUUAACUCGUUUGCCAACCGAUUCGGUUCUUCAAUGCAAAUCAGUUUGCAGAACCUGGAGACGUCUUAUUUCUCAUCAUCCAUUAUUCUGUAAGUUGCACUUCCGCCAUCUUUAUCAUGCUUCUGAUUCUGUUGAUUUUGAUAAGUUGGGUUUUCUUAGUCUGACUCUUAAGAAUGAAAAUGAAAUCUUUCACUAUUUUGAAUACGAUGAGAAUCAUGAGUCAACACCCAUUGAGAAAAUUAGAAGAAUUAGUAUUACCCCUCCAUUUAAAUCUAGUAGCUUUGUUAAUUCCUGUAAUGGUUUGAUCUGUCUUCUUAAUUACAACUACCCAUCUGUUUGGAUUUGCAACCCCAUCACCAGAGAAUGUGUUAUGCUUCCAGAAAUCAACACAGUUUAUUGUGAUAUGGAUGAUGUUUAUUGGACGAUUGGAUUUGGUUAUGUUUCUUCAACUGAUGAGUAUAAAGUUGUAGGAAUUUAUAUAUUGGAGCCCCAUUUGGUAGCAGUUCACGUAUAUACUCUAGGAAGUGGCAAUGGAUGGAGAGACAUUGGAAAUUUCAAUUCUCAGUUCAAAGAAUACAGUUGGGAACGAUGUAUCUUUGCCAAUGAAACUCUUUAUUGGCUGGAAAAUAAAGUAGAAAUGGUUCUUACGUUUGAUCUUGCAGAGGAAAAGUUUUGUGAAAAUCUUUCACCACCUCCUUUGCCACCAUGCAUUAUUGAUUACAUUACUGGUUGGAAUUUUGUUGAUUGGAAUGUUAUUAAGAUAGGGGUUUUGGAUGGAUUUUUAUACUUUGCUCAUAGACAAUCUGUCGAAGAAGGUGAAUGUUUUGACACAUGGUUAUUAAAAAAGAAGAACUAUGAUCAUGGCCUGAAAGAGCGAGGGGAACACCAGUCGUUGGGCUGGUCUAAAGAGUUCAGGGUUGACAAAUGCGAAAUAUUAGUUGUUACGAAGAGUGGCGGUGUCUUAACUUGCAUUGAUAACUAUCUCAACAUUUACGACACAAAAGCUUCAACCUCAACAAGGCUGGUGGAGUUUAAGGAACGGUUUCAUAUAGUUAUCCCUCACAAGAACACUUUGGUUUCCCUGAAAGAAUUAGGGGAAGAAGAUACAAAAACAAUGGAGUCAGUUGAAGGAGACAGGAAGUCGUGAUUAGCCUUUCCAGCAGAUGCGAACCCUGAGCACUGUACGGCGAUUGUGGUUUAUCAGUUGUUCCUUAUGGUCCAGGGAGAGAGCUUCAGUUUUGGAGAUAUAAUCAAACUUCUAACACAUGUUUCAGUUGGAGCGUAUGUGCAAAUGUUGGUUGUGAGGUCCAAUACAGCUAUUGGUCUUGUUUUUGGAUUGGCAUUUGUGCUGUGACGAGGUUUUUUUUUCAGUGACACAGUCAUAGAGAUUUCACUGACUCUUGCAAUGAGCUACCUUGCUGUCCUUGCUUACUUCACUGUUUAUUCUGCAGUUUCUAGGAUUGCUUUUAAGGGUGACAGCCAACAGCGCUUGUAUCAUUUUUGGUACGCUUCUUAUAUUGAUAUUCUGUAAUCAUAUUGCGUACCGUUCAACUGAUUUGAGCCUCUUUGUAAUUUAGUUUUAAUGAUAUUGUUGCAUAUUAAAGAAAAGCGGUUUUCCCAACUACAUGGAAUAAUGUAAAACAAACUUUUGGAACCAUAUAACAUCUGAUUGUUUGGACCCUUGACCGGUUGGAAUCGGACCUAGAACUUUUACCUUGAUUUACAUGUAUUUAACUGGUGCGGAAUAUUAAGCUAAUUAUUCUGCUCCAAAUAAACUAGACCCAUUUUAAAUCAAGUAUGUCCUGCUGAAAUCAAAGCAAGGCCUUGAUAUUGUCAAGCAACAUUAUGUUUGGUGGACUUGCUCACCAGACCUUCAGAUUAUUCUCUCCAAGAUUACACCUUAUAGAUAGUUCUACUUACUCAGGGAUGAUCAAGCACUGCAAGAACUGUUUACAGAUAAACAAAUUCAAAGCAGAUAGCAGAUCAGAAUCCCUCGAGGCACAGGUUCUCCUCACUGAUCCUUGACCAACAAUUGAUGGAAGUUCCACUGUCAAUUCGACAUGUAGUCAACUUAUUACGGCUUCUUUCAUUUUUAAUCUUCAAGAACAGAGGCAGUGGUUGAGACUCUGGCCAUGCUCUCUCCCCCAAAAUUGAAAAUCUUCUUAUGGAAAUGUCUUCAUAAUAUUCUGCCGCUAAAAAUCAUUCUUUUAUGUCCUUUGUGAGGUGUUGACUAUGAGAACUUGGAAGUUAGAUCAUAUAUUUUUUCGCAUUAUCCUUUUGCAAGGGCAGCAUGGUUUGGAAUAGCUCUUCGAGUGUUUCUAAUCCUCUCAUGCAGCAAUGGUGUUUUUCAUCCUGGUUCUCCAAGUCUUUUUCUACUUCCGGGGAAAGCUCGCUUCAAAGUCUGUUUGAUCACCAUGCACAAAACCCAUCCAUAACUAUAGCACACAUUACAUCUAUGCUUUACUCUAUUUACUCAUCCCAGUCCACUCUUAUAGCUCUGAAUUUCAAAUCAUACAUAACCAUUCCCAGGCGUUGGGAAAAUCAUAUAGAACAGCAUAAAAACGAUUCUAUGCAGCAAGAUGUUGGAUCAGUCCAGAUACUAACUGUGAGCCAAGCAGAGACUUCUUCAGCCAUUGACUGGUGUCAUGAACUUCAAAUUGACAAGGUUCUUUUUGUGUCAGAUAAUGCCUGCCAUAAAUGGUGCAACUCUUGUAGUACCGGAUCGGAAGAUCGGAAUCUUGUUCAACAUUACGUUUUGUUUUUUAUCUAAAGUUUGUAAAUCGGAUGGCAAGGAGGUGAAUGCCUCCUUUUUUAAUUCAGACCUGGAUGUACCGGGUUUUCCUUCAAGA